UCGAGUUGAGGCCAUCGAGUUAAUACGUACGUUAGAUUUUUCAUAUAUCAUUGUGAAAGAGUUUCUUAGAGAACUAUACAUGGCAUCAAUGAAGGCUGAAAUAAAGCAAGUUGGCACUCGACAGUUUGGGCAGGCCAAGCAAGAACCCAAGGCCAGUGAUGGUGGAGCCAAAGCUCCAGUAUCUAAGGCAGCCCCAAAGAAGGCUGCACCAAAGCCUCAGGCACCCAAGAAGAAGACAACGGGAAGCAAGCCUGCAGCCAAGAAUUAGAUGAACGGCCAGAGGUGUGGAGAACAUGAAGAUGCUAAAUCACCGCAGUUCCUCCCUACGUAUUAUAACAUCAUAACCAGAAAUCCUGGUUGUGAAAAUGUCCAUGUUUCUCUCUUAUUAGGCUUGGCGUAAUGAAUAAAAGAUACCUAUAUUUU